rnacentral:rRNA from 1 species
AUUUAUUGGGCGUAAAGCGCGCGUAGGCGGUUUUUUAAGUCUGAUGUGAAAGCCCCCGGCUCAACCGGGGAGGGUCAUUGGAAACUGGAAGACUGGAGUGCAGAAGAGGAGAGUGGAAUUCCACGUGUAGCGGUGAAAUGCGUAGAUAUGUGGAGGAACACCAGUGGCGAAGGCGACUCUCUGGUCUGUAACUGACGCUGAGGCGCGAAAGCGUGGGGAGCAAACAGGAUUAGAUACCCUCGUA